rnacentral:rRNA from 1 species
UACAGGGGGUGCAAACGUUGCUCGGAAUUAUUGGGCGUAAAGCGCGCGUAGGCGGCCGUUUAAGUCGGAUGUGAAAGCCCCUGGCUCAACUGGGGAAGUGCACCCGAAACUGAAUGGCUUGAGUACUAAAGAGGGUCGCGGAAUUCCCGGUGUAGAGGUGAAAUUCGUAGAUAUCGGGAGGAAUACCAGUGGCGAAGGCGGCGACCUGGGCCAAUACUGACGCUGAGGUGCGAAAGCGUGGGGAGCAAACAGG